AUCUACGGUCAUGCCACCCUGAGCGUGCCCGAUCUCGUCUGAUCUUGGAAGCGAAGCAGAGUCAGGCCUGGUUACUACUUGGAUAGGAGACCACUUAGGAAAACUAGGUGCUGUAGACG
rnacentral:rRNA from 1 species